rfam:Oryza sativa Japonica Group DNA, chromosome 1, cultivar: Nipponbare, complete sequence.
AAUAAGUGUAGUUUUACACUAUUUAUAUUCAACGUUUGACCAUUCGACUUAUUUGAAAAAAAAUUAUAAUUAGUAUUUUUAUUUUUAUUACAUGAAAAAAACAUAGAUAGUACUUUUAAGUGUAACUAAUUUUUUAAUUUUUUUCAUAAACUUUUCAAAUAAGACGGACGAUCAAACGUUGGAUAUGUAUACAUACGGCUGUACUUAUU